rnacentral:lncRNA from 1 species
UUUGGAUUGGUAAAAUUCUAGUACUGGUAAUUUGACAGAAAAAUGCAGAUGACCUGUUAAUGAAUCCAGUCGCAGUAGAGAAUUGAUGAAAUUUGAGAACUGUGAUGUCCAUUUUCUGCAUGUUUCGAUUCUAUUAGCACAUUCUCAGACUGGCAACUGGGGUUAUGAUAUAUGGAACUAAGAGUUACCUUUCUUGUGUCCAUUAAUGAUUGCAAUACAUCUUUAUGGAUUGGAUUGGUCUUUCUAGUGGGUAUCCUUAGUUCUCUCAUCUCUCAAACCUAUUUGUUUGAGUUUGCUGGUUGCAUGGAUCAAAGGUUAAUUUUCUUCAAUAUUUGUGGUUUUUAGUAGGCUGCAGCUCCACUUAUGGACUAGGGAAUUUAUCUUAGAUAUGAUAACCUCGUGGCACUGGGUUUUGAAGUAGAAUAUUCUGAGAACGAAACUCAGAGGAGACGGAAUAUCUCGAUUCACAAGUAUGAAGUCGUUGAUUCUUGAUUUUGAGUUAAGGUUUUCUUUUAAGAGUGGAAAAUGCGCUUCAGGGAAUCUGGUUGGUUCUAAUCCAGGUCAUGUACAAGGCACAUUCUUUGUUAGGAAAUUAAGAUUUAUCUAGAAACUCCUAGUUAGUAGAUAUUUUUAUAGUUAAAACUCCUAGAUAUUAGAUAUUUUUUGGAAUAUGUUCUUCUAGAAUAUUCUAGUGUAGUCUCUUGAAUAAAUAUCUUGUAGAAUUAUCUAGAUAUUCUAGAGUAGUAGAAGAUAAGGAUCACUAGAUUUUUGUUAUAGAUGUAUCUAGAAGGAUAUCUAGAGACUAGAAUCAUCCAUGGACAAGUAUAAAUAGGAGGCACAUUGUGCAUUUGUAUCCAUCCAGAAAGAUAGAAAACACUCAAAAAUGUUUCAGCUUCUCCUUCUUCACUGCAAUCUUUUUUGUAGCAAUUUACAGCUGCAUCAUUUUAACUGUUUCAGCUUGUUGUUUUCCAAUCCCCCUUUCCCUUCUUCUAACAUGGUAUCAGAGCCCAUUUCUUACAGGACCUGAAUCUGUUUUUUUGUUGAUUGGCUCAUCUUAUUUUUAGCUUCUUUUCUUGGAUCUUUUUGCUGAAAAAACAUGGCACCAGAAAAUCAACUAACAACGGGUCCUUCGAUUUUCUCGGGGGAGAAUUACCAUAUUCAGACUGUGGGGUUAUGAUAUAUGGAACUAAGAGUUACCUUUCUUGUGUCCAUUAAUGAUUGCAGUACAUCCUUAUGGAUUGGAUUGGUCUUUCUAGUGGGUAUCCUUAAUUCUCUCAUCUCUCAAACCUAUUUGUUUGAGUUUGCUGGUUGCAUGGAUCAAAGGUUAAUUUUCUUCAAUAUUUGUGGUUUUUAGUAGGCUGCAGCUCCACUUAUGGACUAGGGAGUUUAUCUUAGAUAUGAUAACCUCGUGGCACUGGGUUUUGAAGUAGAAUAUUCUGAGAACGGAACUCAGAGGAGAUGGAAUAUCUCGAUUCACAAGUAUGAAGUCGUUGAUUCUUGAUUUUGAGUUAAGGUUUUCUUUUAUGAGUGGAAAAUGCACUUCAGGGAAUCUGGUUGGUUCUAAUCCAGGUCAUGUACAAGGCACAUUCUUUGUUAGGAAAUUAAGAUUUAUCUAGAAACUCCUAGUUAGUAGAUAUUUUUGUAGUAGAAACUCCUAGAUAUUAGAUAUUUUUUGGAAUAUGUUCUUUUAGAAUAUUCUAGUGUAGUCUCUUGAAUAAAUAUCUUGUAGAAUUAUCUAGAUAUUCUAGAGUAGUAGAAGAUAAGGAUCACUAGAUUUUUCUUAUAGAUGUAUCUAGAAGGAUAUCUAGAGACUAGAAUCAUCCAUGGACAAGUAUAAAUAGGAGGCACAUUGUGCAUUUGUAUCCAUCCAGAAAAAUAGAAAACACUCAAAAAAGUUUCAGCUUCUCCUUCUUCACUACAGUCUUUUUUGUAGCAAUUUUCAACUGUAUUAUUUUAAUUGUUUCAGCUUGUUGUUUUCCAAUCCCCCUUUCCCUUCUUCUAACAUGGUAUCAGAGCCCAUUUCUUACAGGAUCUGAAUCUGUUUUUUUGUUGAUUGGCUC